rnacentral:rRNA from 1 species
UGGGGAAUAUUGGACAAUGGGCGCAAGCCUGAUCCAGCCAUGCCGCGUGAGUGAUGAAGGCCCUAGGGUUGUAAAGCUCUUUCACCGGUGAAGAUAAUGACGGUAACCGGAGAAGAAGCCCCGGCUAACUUCGUGCCAGCAGCCGCGGUAAUACGAAGGGGGCUAGCGUUGUUCGGAUUUACUGGGCGUAAAGCGCACGUAGGCGGACUUUUAAGUCAGGGGUGAAAUCCCGGGGCUCAACCCCGGAACUGCCUUUGAUACUGGAAGUCUUGAGUAUGGUAGAGGUGAGUGGAAUUCCGAGUGUAGAGGUGAAAUUCGUAGAUAUUCGGAGGAACACCAGUGGCGAAGGCGGCUCACUGGACCAUUACUGACGCUGCGGUGCGAAAGCGUGGGGAGCAAACAGG